rnacentral:rRNA from 1 species
UACAGAGGGUGCUAGCGUUGUUCGGAAUUACUGGGCGUAAAGGGCUCGUAGGCGGCCAACUAAGUCCGACGUGAAAUCCCAAGGCUUAACCUUGGAACUGCGUCGGAUACUGGAUGGCUUGAAUUCGGGAGAGGGAUGCAGAAUUCCAGGUGUAGCGGUGAAAUGCGUAGAUAUCUGGAGGAAUACCGGUGGCGAAGGCGGCAUCCUGGACCGACAUUGACGCUGAUGAGCGAAAGCUAGGGGAGCAAACGGG